rnacentral:misc_RNA from 1 species
AGAGUGCCCCGCAAGGGGUUGAUGCCGGUUAACCAUCCCUGGGCUAGUCGGCUCUCGGGGGGGUCCCGGUUGACUCGUUCUACCCCAUGUGAAACUUAUACCUUUGCUUCGGCAGCACCUCGCGGGCAACCGCUUGGGUAAGGCUGCCAGAGGCCCACCAUUAAACUAGUUGAUGAAAUGUCAUGCUGUCUGAAUCUCUAUAAUUUGAGAAAUCAAAUUUAUAUUA